AGUGAACGCUGGCGGUAGGCCUAACACAUGCAAGUCGAACGGCAGCACAGUAAGAGCUUGCUCUUACGGGUGGCGAGUGGCGGACGGGUGAGGAAUACAUCGGAAUCUACUUUUUCGGGGGGGAUAACGUAGGGAAACUUACGCUAAUACCGCAUACGACCUACGGGGGAAAGCAGGGGAUCUUCGGACCUUGCGCGAUUGAAUGAGCCGAUGUCGGUUUAGCUAGUUGGCGGGGUAAAGGCCCACCAAGUCGACGAUCCGUAGCUGGUCUGAGAGGAUGGUCAGCCACACUGGAACUGAGACACGGUCCAGACUCCUACGGGAGGCCGCAGUGGGGAAUAUUGGACAAUGGGCGCAAGCCUGAUCCAGCCAUACCGCGUGGGUGAAGAAGGCCUUCGGGUUGUAAAGCCCUUUUGUUGGGAAAGAAAAGCAGCAGGUUAAUACCCCGCUGUUCUGACGGUACCCAAAGAAUAAGCACCGGCUAACUUCGUG
rnacentral:rRNA from 1 species